GUUCAUUCUUUUGCUUUUUCAGACGUCACAAGAAUUCUAACAAGCAAGUUUACAGACAGCAAAGGAGCACCACUGAACUGUACACUUUCGCACAGGCUGUUUCCUGAAUGACUGGGGCCAGAGAGGAAAAUAUGAUCAAAAACAGUGCACUUGUUUUCCAACUUCCGCUUGAAUGCACAAAUCUCAAAGAAAUUAGAAUAGGCUGCUUGUUGUGGGGAUUUUCCUUGUGUAUUGUUGUUGCUUUGUUAAGGUAAGUAGGAAGAAGAUGGGAGAGAAGACUGGAUUCUUCAGGGGAUCAGUAUCGGUAAUAAGACAUGGAAGCUUUCACCUUUAAGUCAUUUGUUCAAAUACAGCACAAGAUCAUAAUCUGCAAUGAUUGUUCCCUGCCCAUUCUGAACUGUGCUGUAGGUCUCAGUCCAGCAAACUACACACCUAACUUUAGACACAUGGAUGAGUCUAAUUUAUUUCACAUGCUGGAAGUUAGACACGUGCUUCAGCACCUUGCUGAAUCAGGACCCUAAUGCACAGUACAGAUCACAAAUGGCAUGCUCUCCCUAUAUCAUCAACAAAAAGGCCAAAUACCAAAGGAGCAUGGAAAUAAAAAUACGCUUGUAUCUCUGGAGACGGUCGCUCCAGGUCAAGCUUGAGACAUGUUGAUGGAUUGUUUUGUCUAUUCCGCAGGAAACAGAAGUUUUCAGUGUUCAGGACCUUUGCUAUGGUAUGUUCACAAGCAUUAAAUGAAGUGAAGCCUAAACGGAACAUAGCAUUGUCGAUGGA